rnacentral:rRNA from 1 species
AUUGAACGCUGGCGGCAUGCCUUACACAUGCAAGUCGAACGGCAGCGGGGGAGAAGCUUGCUUUCCUGCCAGCGAGUGGCGAACGGGUGAGUAAUACAUCGGAACGUGCCCUGUAGUGGGGGAUAACUAGUCGAAAGAUUAGCUAAUACCGCAUACGACCUGAGGGUGAAAGUGGGGGACCGCAAGGCCUCAUGCUAUAGGAGCGGCCGAUGCCUGAUUAGCUAGUUGGUGGGGUAAAGGCCUACCAAGGCGACGAUCAGUAGCUGGUCUGAGAGGACGAUCAGCCACACUGGGACUGAGACACGGCCCAGACUCCUACGGGAGGCAGCAGUGGGGAAUUUUGGACAAUGGGCGAAAGCCUGAUCCAGCAAUGCCGCGUGUGUGAAGAAGGCCUUCGGGUUGUAAAGCACUUUUGUCCGGAAAGAAAUGGCUCUGGUUAAUACCUGGGGUCGAUGACGGUACCGGAAGAAUAAGGACCGGCUAACUACGUGCCAGCCGCCGCAGUAA